CAGCAGUGGGGAAUCUUAGACAAUGGGGGAAACCCUGAUCUAGCCAUGCCGCGUGAUCGAUGAAGGCCUUAGGGUUGUAAAGAUCUUUCAGCUGGGAAGAUAAUGACGGUACCAGCAGAAGAAGCCCCGGCUAACUCCGUGCCAGCAGCCGCGGUAAUACGGAGGGGGCUAGCGUUAUUCGGAUUUACUGGGCGUAAAGCGCACGUAGGCGGAUCGGAAAGUUAGGGGUGAAAUCCCGGGGCUCAACCUCGGAACUGCCUCUAAAACUCCUGGUCUUGAGGUCGAGAGAGGUGAGUGGAAUUCCGAGUGUAGAGGUGAAAUUCGUAGAUAUUCGGAGGAACACCAGUGGCGAAGGCGGCUCACUGGCUCGAUACUGACGCUGAGGUGCGAAAGCGUGGGGAGCAAACAGGAUUAGA
rnacentral:rRNA from 1 species